rnacentral:tRNA from 1 species
GGUAGUAGCUCAGCUGUAGAGCACUUGCCUUGCACGCUUGAGGCCCUGGGUUCAAUCCUCAGCACCA